rnacentral:rRNA from 1 species
UACGUAGGGUGCAAGCGUUGUCCGGAAUUAUUGGGCGUAAAGGGUGCGCAGGCGGUGCGCUAAGUCAACUGUUAAAUCUCCCGGCCUAACCGGGAAUCAGCGGUAGAUACUGGCGUGCUAGAGGGUGGAAGAGAGAAGUGGAAUUCUUGGAGUAGCGGUAAAAUGCGUAGAUCUCAAGAGGAACACCGAUGGCGAAGGCAGCUUCUUGGUCCACAUCUGACGCUCAUGCACGAAAGCGUGGGGAGCAAACAGG